UACGUAGGGGCCUAGCGUUGUCCGGAUUUACUGGGCGUAAAGGGCGUGCAGGCGGUCUGUUAAGUUCAGGGUGAAAGCUCCCGGCUCAACUGGGAGAGGUCCUUGGAUACUGGCAGACUUGAGGGAGGUAGAGGAGAGUGGAAUUCCCGGUGUAGUGGUGAUAUGCGUAGAUAUCGGGAGGAACACCAGUGGCGAAGGCGGCUCUCUGGGCCUUUCCUGACGCUGAGACGCGAAAGCGUGGGGAGCGAACCGG
rnacentral:rRNA from 1 species